AUGUGGGAGCAUGUCGUCAAAUGGAGGAAGGCUAUGAGGAUAAAUGUUCUGCAAUUUUCGAGGAAAGUCAUAAGGAUGUGUCUUUCCCAACCACAAAGCAACUUAGAGCUGUAUGAUAUGGACACAAGAAAAUCUUAUCACUGCGAGCUCAAAGAAAGGGAAGGAAAGUUGGAGAAAUUUCUUGCUCAAGGAAGGUACGAAUUUGAUGCAGACAGAAGGCUCAAGAGUGACGACAAAUUGAAUUUUUUCCUUAGAUAUCCUCCUGCCACCAGAUUGUUAGUCUGUGUGGAUAACCGAUCUGAUUUAAUGAGGAUGGGGGUGUGA